rnacentral:rRNA from 1 species
UAGGAAUUUUGCGCAAUGGACGAAAGUCUGACGCAGCAACGCCGCGUGAGGGAUGAAGGCCUUCGGGUUGUAAACCUCUUUUGAUGGGAACGAAUAAAUGACGGUACCCAUAGAAUAAGCACCGGCUAACCCUGUGCCAGCAGCCGCGGUAAUACAGGGGGUGCAAGCGUUAUUCGGAAUUACUGGGCGUAAAGAGCGUGUAGGCGGCUUACUAAGUUUGGUGUGAAAUCCCUGGUCUCAAGCCAGGAAGUGCACUGAAUACUGGUAGGCUAGAGUACAGGAGAGGUGAGCGGAAUUCCCGGUGUAGAGGUGAAAUUCGUAGAUAUCGGGAGGAAUAACAGUGGCGAAGGCGGCUCACUGGACUGUAACUGACGCUAAGGCGCGAAAGCGUGGGGAGCAAAC